AUUGAACGCUGGCGGCAGGCCUAACACAUGCAAGUCGAACGAGUGGCGGACGGGUGAGUAAUGUCUGGGAAACUGCCCGAUGGAGGGGGAUAACUACUGGAAACGGUAGCUAAUACCGCAUACCAUCGGAUGUGCCCAGAUGGGAUUAGCUUGUAGGUGAGUGAACGGCUCACCUAGUCGACGAUCCCUAGCUGGGUUGAGAGGAUGACCAGGCAAAAUGGAACUAGGAGCAGGGCCAGACUCCUACGGGAGGCAGGAAUGGGGAAAAUUUCACAAUGGGCGCAAGCCUGAUGCAAGCAUGGCGCGGGUAUGAAGAAGGCCUUCGGGGUGUAAAGUUCUUUCAGCGGGGAGGCGUUACCCGCAGAAGAAGCACCGGCUAACUCCGUGCCAGCAGCCGCGGUAAUAC
rnacentral:rRNA from 1 species